CCCGAUUUGGACCAACUUGAAAACUGGGCCAAUAAUAAAAAAUCUAAGUACAUUUUUAGAUUCAGCAUAUCAAAGAACCCCAAGGAUUCAAUUUUUGUUAAAAUCAAACUAAGUUUAAUUUUGGACCCUUUGGACCUUAAUGUAGACCAAUUUGAAAACGGGACCAAAAAUUAAGAAUCUACAUACACAGUUAGAUUCGGCAUAUCAAAGAACCCAAAUUAUUCAAUUUUUGAUGAAAUCAAACAAAGUUUAAUUUUGGACCCUU
rnacentral:lncRNA from 1 species